GGCUUGGUGGCGAAGUGGUUACGCAUCUGCAAAUUGUACACACAGAGGCUACGUUUUGCGGACAAUGCCCGUUCGAUUCGGGCCCAAGCCU